AAAUUUCAGGAUGAAAAAACUGAGGCACGAAUAGUCACACUGCUGGAUUCAAGCCCUGACCCCAAGGCAUCUCCCCAAGAUGACCACAGUUGUCCCUGAAGAAGCAGUCACAGCAAGCUCACUUCACAGGAACCAAGCUGUGGGCUGAUCCUACAGACUUGAAAAGACAACUCAAAAAGAUUGUCUGUGGGGUCAGAAACAGCUCUGGAGGGGUCUGCAGAAAUUACUUUCCCAAGUCUUUGGGCUGGAAGGAACGAACAGUGCCUGACCAAGGACUUUGAGCAGGAGAGAGAUGGGAGCAGAGAGGAGCCAAGGUCUACUAUUUUCACUUCUGUCAAUUAGAUCAAAGCCCUGCCCAGAAGCUUUGAGCGCCGCUGUCAAGUCCCAUUCCUCCCCUAAACCAUCCAGGUUCCAUCUGCCUUGAAGCCAAAGGAUCUUCUUAGAUUCCUCAAGAAAAAUUCAGGCCCCGAGUUUCUCCACCAGCACUCUCCUCUCCCCGAAGGAGUGGGUGGGCUGCAUUUCUCUUCAUAUUCUAUUCCAUUCCAGACCGUCUUGGACUACCAGCCUGUCCGCCACCCCUCGGGGCCCUCCCUCCUACUCUGCCCUUGCCCGCUGAGGUCCCAAGCUGAGGAGAUGAGCCGAGCAGUAAAAAGAGAGGAGGUUUGGAAAAGCAAUGUCCUCUCAGUCUUUAAUAGGUGGCCCCCCUGGGAACCUGCUGGAAGUGGAAGUUAAUAAGCUGAAGGUGGUCACAACCAAUCUCUGCCACACUCGCACCCUACCCCACCCCAAAUCAUUCCUUUUAAUUAAUAGUGGAAGACCUUUUUAAAAAUGUAACAUGAAUUGGCUAUUUCUUGAGGCAAACAAAAGGUGGCUCUGAAGCGAUAUAUUUGUACUCGUAUAAAUUCAUUAAAAUAGAAA
rnacentral:lncRNA from 1 species